rnacentral:rRNA from 1 species
GAUGAACGCUGGCGGCAGGCUUAACACAUGCAAGUCGAACGCACCGCAAGGUGAGUGGCAGACGGGUGAGUAACGCGUGGGAACGUGCCCUUCAGUUCGGAAUAACCCAGGGAAACUUGGGCUAAUACCGGAUACGUGCGAGAGCAGAAAGAUUUAUCGCUGAAGGAUCGGCCCGCGUCUGAUUAGCUAGUUGGUGAGGUAACGGCUCACCAAGGCGACGAUCGGUAGCUGGCUGAGAGGAUGAUCAGCCACACCGGAACUGAGACACGGUCCGGACUCCUACGGGAGGCAGCAGUGGGGAAUAUUGGACAAUGGGGGCAACCCUGAUCCAGCCAUGCCGCGUGUGUGAAGAAGGCCUC